CUGCAGCCAAUUAAGCCGACUGAGUUCCUUUCCUCAUGGGGGCCCAGUGUGCAAUGGCUGCAAACAGCAGCUUCCCUGAUAGUGAUGCAGCCUGUUUGUUGUAUGGGUUGCUCUAAGGGACCUUGGAGACAGAC
rnacentral:snoRNA from 1 species